GGGUUGCUGACGUACACAGGUUGUAUGAAUAGAGGCCUGAAAUGACAACUGGUGGAUCAGAGCUGAGGACUGCCCAGGGGCACAGGCAGAGCUGGAAGCAGGCUCUCCCAAGCUUCCCUGAGCAGGGUCUGGCAGCACAGAGCAAGACCAGAACAUAGCCCUGUGCCAUAGGCAGGUACCAGUGCAAGCCCAGUGAGGCCUGGUGCUUCUUGGACCAGCUGCAAACCACCCACACAUUAUCAGAAACAGGUGAACUCAUUAGACUUUCUGAUUUAAGCUUUUCCUCUGUAUUUUCUAAGAUAGAAAUACUUUGCAAUGGAGCAAGGCCUCCUUCCUUUCCUUCUCCAGGGCACAACCUGUUCUCCAGUUGUUAUAUGACCUCUUGUGAGGAAUUAUCAAGAUGGAUACAUUUGUAACAGAAAAAUAAUUCUCUUUUCUCUCAAAAGACUGGGAAGGCUGUCAGGCGCUCUGGGGCAAUGGAAAUAAGUAGUUGAUGCCUCCCGUAAAUAAAGAUAUGAAAUGUUUGUAGUUGUGAACA
rnacentral:lncRNA from 1 species